rnacentral:rRNA from 1 species
GAGUUUGAUCAUGGCUCAGAACGAACGCUGGCGGCAUGCCUAACACAUGCAAGUCGAACGAGAUCUUCGGAUCUAGUGGCGCACGGGUGCGUAACGCGUGGGAAUCUGCCCUUGGGUGCGGAAUAACUUCUCGAAAGGGAUGCUAAUACCGCAUAAUGUCGUAAGACCAAAGAUUUAUCGCCCAAGGAUGAGCCCGCGUAAGAUUAGCUAGUUGGUGGGGUAAAAGCCUACCAAGGCGACGAUCUUUAGCUGGUCUGAGAGGAUGAUCAGCCACACUGGGACUGAGACACGGCCCAGACUCCUACGGGAGGCAGCAGUGGGGAAUAUUGGACAAUGGGCGAAAGCCUGAUCCAGCAAUGCCGCGUGAGUGAUGAAGGCCCUAGGGUUGUAAAGCUCUUUUACCCGGGAUGAUAAUGACAGUACCGGGAGAAUAAGCUCCGGCUAACUCCGUGCCAGCAGCCGCCGUAAU